rnacentral:lncRNA from 1 species
GUUCUCUAAAGUCUACGCAGAUAAAACUCUUAUCGUUUUUAUUAAGAGCUAUUGGGGCAGAUGAGUAAUCAGCGGAGUUUUUUUUUCGGGCGCCGCCCACCAUCCAAAAAGUCAAAGAUGGCGUCGGCAUUUACUAAUUUUUCGGACAUCUGUAACAGACUGAGGGGAGGGUGUAACAAUGCCGUCCUCUUUUUCCAGUUUGAGUAGCAAGUGGAAAGCUCGUAAUUCGAGGGUUAGGACUUUACAGUAAAAUGAGAGCCAUUCAGCCAGAGUAGAGUCUCUCGUACUACAGUGCAGGAAGUUAGCUCGGUGCCAUAUUGAUGGUAAGAUCUUUUUUCUAUUUGAUAUGAGAUAGAAGGAAAAACGAACUGGCAAAAAAAAGACACUUAGAGAAUGAGAUUGGAUUUCUAUUCCUAUUUUAUGAAAGUCCUCAAGACUGGAAUUGUCGCAUAUCAGCUGCAAUAAGAGAGAUUAUAGAUAUGUCGCAUAUCAGCUGUUAUAGAGAUAGACAUUCCCGACAACUCAUCUGCGAAAACUGAAUUGAAUGCUCGGGGAAGGAGCGAAGGGAAGAGGAUUUAGCUUUNN